GUCGGUGUAGUAUAGUGGUUAGUACUUCUCGUUGUGGGUUUACAGGGAUUCGAUCCUUGUAACAGCUGUUCCGAGAGGACCCAUGUUCGAUUCAUGGCACCGACA